CAGUCUAGCGAGGACAUAAGAUUGGACCGAAAUCAAGUUGCGUUUGGGAAGCGUUGUCCACUAUUACCAUUGCCGUAUCUUUUGUCAUGCUAGGGUGGUGAUUGUUGAGGCCCAAGCCCUCGUUCGUCGUUCAUUUGAUUGGUGGGAUUUCUAUUGGAUGCACGCCACAGGUCAAGGAGCUUUGACGACUGCUACACCAUAUGUUAGCAGUUUGAUCAUUUCUACAUUGAAGACGAUUUUGAAUUUAAGUUUGGCAGGUGCUUGCCAAACUUAGUUGAACGUGAUCAAGAUAUGAUGUGCAGCUAAGUAAAAACGUGCUGAUAACCUUUAAUAACAAAUUGGCUGUUAUUACGGAAGGAGCAGUCAAAAUUUGAGAACAACAAACAAGUCUUAAGAAAAUGUUGCAGUAAGUUCUGUUCAGGUUUGUUCUAUACCGAGUUUAUUUUUCAGCAUAGGUAGUUUUGAAUUUUUAUUCUUUUUACUUCUAACAGUAUAGUUACACAAUAUCACACCUUUCCUACUUCAGAUAAGAAGAGCCAGGUAAUGUGUA